rnacentral:rRNA from 1 species
GACGAACGCUGGCGGCGUGCUUAACACAUGCAAGUCGAACGGAAAGGCCCUGCUUGCAGGGUGCUCGAGUGGCGAACGGGUGAGUAACACGUGGGUGAUCUGCCCCUUACUUUGGGAUAAGCCUGGGAAACUGGGUCUAAUACUGGAUAGGACCAUGCUGUAGGUGGUGUGGUGGAAAGAUUAGUUUCGGUAAGGGAUGAGUUCGCGGCCUAUCAGCUUGUUGGUGGGGUAAUGGCCUACCAAGGCGUCGACGGGUAGCCGGCCUGAGAGGGUGGAAGGCCACAUUGGGACUGAGAUACGGCCCAGACUCCUACGGGAGGCAGCAGUGGGGAAUAGUGCACAAUGGGCGCAAGCCUGAUGCCGCGACGCCGCGUGGGGGAUGACGGCCUUCGGGUUGUAAACUCCUUUCAGCCAUGACGAAGCCCUUGUGGUGACGGUAGUGGGAGAAGAAGCACCGGCUAACUACGUG